rnacentral:rRNA from 1 species
UACGUAGGGUGCGAGCGUUGUCCGGAAUUAUUGGGCGUAAAGGGCGCGUAGGCGGCCAGCACAAGUCAGUUGUGAAAUCUCCGAGCUUAACUCGGAAAGGUCAACUGAUACUGUGCGGCUAGAGUGCGGAAGGGGCAACUGGAAUUCUUGGUGUAGCGGUGAAAUGCGUAGAUAUCAAGAGGAACACCUGCGGCGAAGGCGGGUUGCUGGGCCGAACACUGACGUGAGGCGCGAAAGCGUGGGGAGCGAACAGG